GGUUAGACACAUUAUCAUGUGGACCAAAUCUGGCUCAAUACUUGCCCCCCACUUCCUAGUCUGAAGGUCAUUUCAUACUGAAAAGUAGAUCAUCAUUUGGAUUUAGGGUCGCACAUCUUAGUGAGCUCCUCUAUCUUUAUGAAGCUUCAUUGAUACAAUCGAAGUAGUAAAACAUCAUUUCGGAUCUCUACCGAUGUGACGAGAGUUUUGCUUCGAUAGGUAGCACUUAGAGAUGUU
rnacentral:lncRNA from 1 species